UAGCGAGUCGUGCUUCUGUAUUGUUCCUGACGCGCCAUACUUGUGAAAUAUGCAUUUAGUGACGCGUGGAAAAAUGUAAACCAUAGGAUCGACACGUUCCUCCUGGGGAACGUCAGGUAGUGAGAGUACUCGCAGACCAUAACUGAGGAACUCGCCGUCAAAGAACUGAUUCAUCAGGCACAGUUGAAGGAAGAUGUUGAUGAGACAGAGAACCUCGCAGCCGAAAUACCGAUACACAUACGUGUUGUGUGUCUGAAAGAAGAAGCAAUCGGUGAAUUGGCAUAAAUUGGACUCAAUGAAGGCAAAUUGGAUCUAACCAAAUCGUCUCAGCCUUCCUCUCGCCUUUGCUCUUACGCUUUUGUGUCACUGUCGAAAAAUUCUUUCGAAGGAUUCAAGAAUUAAAUUGGUCAAAUAAGUUUGAUCAAAAUGACAGAAAAGCUACUAGUCAUUUAGAAAUACAAGAUGUGGUGCAUUCGUGCUCGCGAACCAGUUUCGGAUAUCUUAUACGGAAAGAAGAGAACAGCGACGACAGUAAAGGAAAACUUAAACUGAGAAGUCGCGCGCAGCUGUCGCGGCCAAGCUUUAUCUGUCGCGUGUGCAAGAUUACUGAUAAACGAGUCUUUACCUGGAAGAACAACAUGAAGCACACCCAUUGGUAGUAAGUAUAAUAUUUCCUUGCAUCCACAUCGCCGAAGUCGUUCGCCACUCCUGGAUGCGCCACCUCUACACCGACCUGAUAAAAGGAACAAAUGUUCUGUCAACAAUAGGUAAUGAUGAAAGACUGCAGGUGUAGUUGAUUAAAUUUAUAUCUACAUCGUCUGUAGUCUGUGCGAUAUAUUUGGUUUCGUUCUUUUUACAGGACGCGUCAGAAAUAUUGGUCAAAAGGGUAAUUAGCGUUACAAAUACAUGACAAAAAAUUGAAAAAUUAAUAAUUAUUAAGGAAUUAUAUAUCAACUAUAUGAAUUAUUCUUAAUUAAGUAUCAUAAUAAAGUUUCUGAAAAAUUACUUGAAUAAUAGUUAUUAUCGAUUAGGUGUUAUAAUAAAAUUUUUAGAAAAAUAUUUCAAUAUGUAGAUUAUGAUACGGAACAUUUGCAAAUAUAUGCAAAUACAAGACUUUUUUAUACCUUAUUUUGUCCAAAUCAAUAGCAUUGGAAAUCAUAUUUAUUAAAUAAUAUGAAGGAACAGAGAGAAGAGAUUAGUGGAAGAAAACAAAAUUUCUUAUAAAAUCCUAAAGAUGUUCAUCAUGAUCAUCAGUACUCAUAAUAUUUAUUUAAAUUUUAAAUAAAACAUGGAUUAUGUUGAAAAUAUAUUAAAAUAUGUGUUCGAAAAUGUUUAUUCUUUUAAAUCAUCAUUGAAAAAUUAACUUAUAAAAACAUAAAAUGUCCAUCAUGAUAUUUAAAAUUUGAAUAAAUUCGAAUUAUGUACAUGACUGAUUAUUAAAUUUGCUUAAAAAUUUGGGAUUGACAUAAACAUUAUCAUAGAUUAUCAUAUAUCAUAUAUCGAACAAGUUUUUGCCUAUAUACGAUUAUAUAUAGUAUAUAGUAUUUUAUUAUACAUUAUACAUGUAUCUAGAAUUGUUUAUAUAUAGUAUAUCAUUUCCAAGAAUGGUUUUGUUCAUUCAACUCGCGUGAAUUUGCUAUUCAAAAAUAUAAACACAA
rnacentral:misc_RNA from 1 species